rnacentral:lncRNA from 1 species
UCUAGAUGAUCAAGUGAUUACAAGUUAGAUAAUGUAGAGCAGAAAACUUUGAAAAGCCAUAGAAAACCUAUUAAGCAAGUAAAUAUGCAGUCUUAAACACAGAGAUGUCAUCGCUGUAGCCGAUAAGCAUGUGCUCACAUAGUCACAUCCAUAAACAGAUACAAGUACUAAAAAACCUUGUACUACUUGCAAGGACACAACACGGAUUGACCAAUGUAUAGAGACAAGAUACUACCUUAUUCUAUAACAGUAUCAAAAUAAGAACACAUGCUGAGAACUAACACGAUUAGCUGGAGAGUUCAGGGAGACAAGAAGCGACUCAUCCAGUUACGGAAGCGGGUCCAUGCUAACUCGACUGCAACAUCAUCUUCAUCGGUCAGUCCCAUACUUUUUCUUCUCUGCAGCCCUUCCGGGGACUUGUUCAUAAAGGCAUGCGUAAGUCCUGGAUAAAUAUGCACCUCAUGUGGAACUCCUGAUGCCUUCAGCUUCACCUCCAAGGCUUUCGCCGUCUGGAUACAAAAGUCCAUAGUAAUCAAUAUACAAUGAACACACUAGCAAUCCAGCGAAUCAAGAACCCGUUAAAAACUGCAUCCUCAGUUUCUUGUGAAUCCCAUGGAACAAAAAGUAGGAUUGACAUUGCUAAAAUCACAUUCAUCAGCAUACUUCACACAGUACAAAUGCACAAAAUGUAUCCCAAAGAAGAAAAUGUGCCAGCUCUCUCUUAUCGCCAUUUUUAAGCUAAUGCAUGUUCCACCAGGUAGUAUGUGACAACAUUCAAUCGCAUGCUGGUAGUAUGUGACAACAUUCAAUCGCAUGCUUCCAGUUGCAAAUAUACAAAGAUUAAUUAAGACAAAAUGUGCCAACAUCUUCUUUUCCACCAUUUGAAAGUUAAUAUGCAUGGUUAGAAGGUUCUUGCCAUGAUGUACAUUAUCUGCUCAACUUUCAUUCAAGGAUGUUUAAUUAAUUACGCUUUUUGUACUUCAAUACCAUUUAAUGGUUAUAAUAGGAUCCAAAUAUGUGUACAAGCUCUUCAUUACAAUCUUCAAAUUACCAAACUGAUGAUGAAUCAUUUGCCUAAGCAUACACGGAUUCCAAAGUUGUUUUCAUAUAAUUGGAGUAAAUGGGAGGGAGGCUGGAGUUAGGUUGGAUUUCCAUAUGCAUGACAAAAUAGUAAAACAUUCAAAGGGUACGGCAACAGAAAACCACCCUUCAUGACACCACCUUUAAAAGUAAAGCGGAGUUUACUGUAGAAGUAAAAAGGAUUGAUAUCGACAUAAGACGGCAAUUAUUUUUCUCAACUACCAAAUCAUGUAAAAUAACCUACUCAUACUGACGACCACCCAAGAACCAAGCUGAGUUAAUAUAAAAAUAACAACACUUGGCUCAAAAGAAUGA